rnacentral:rRNA from 1 species
UACGAGGGGUGCAAGCGUUGCUCGGAAUUAUUGGGCGUAAAGGGUAGGUAGGUGGUCUCAUUUGUCUGGGGUGAAAGCCUUGAGCUUAACUCAAGAAGUGCCCUAGAAACGGUGAGACUGGAGUCCUGGAGAGGGUCGUGGAAUUCCCGGUGUAGCGGUGAAAUGCGUAGAGAUCGGGAGGAACACCAGUGGCGAAGGCGACUACCUGGCCUGUUCUUGACGCUGAGGCGCGAAAGCUAGGGGAGCAAACAGG